GAUGAAGAACGCAGCGAAAUGCGAUAAGUAAUGUGAAUUGCAGAAUUCAGUGAAUCAUCGAAUCUUUGAACGCACAUUGCGCCCGCCAGUAUUCUGGCGGGCAUGCCUGUUCGAGCGUCAUUACAACCCUCAGGCCCCCGGGCCUGGCGUUGGGGAUCGGCGGAGCCCCCCGUGGGCACACGCCGUCCCCCAAAUGCAGUGGCGGUCCCGCCGCAGCUUCCAUCGCGUAGUAGCUAACACCUCGCGAAUGGAGAGCGGCGCGGCCACGCCGUAAAACACCCAACUCUUCUGAAGUUGACCUCGAAUCAGGUAGGAAUACCCGCUGAACUUAAGCAUAUCAAUAAGCGGAGGA
rnacentral:misc_RNA from 1 species